rnacentral:rRNA from 1 species
UACGAAGGGGGCUAGCGUUGCUCGGAAUCACUGGGCGUAAAGCGCACGUAGGCGGUCUUUUAAGUCGGGGGUGAAAUCCUGGAGCUCAACUCCAGAACUGCCUCGAUACUGGAAGACUUGAGUCCGGGAGAGGUGAGUGGAACUGCGAGUGUAGAGGUGAAAUCGUAGAUAUUCGCAAGAACACCAGUGGCGAAGGCGGCUCACUGGCCCGGUACUGACGCUGAGGUGCGGAAAGCGUGGGGAGCAAACAGGG